rnacentral:misc_RNA from 1 species
GAUGAAGAACGCAGCGAAAUGCGAUACGUAAUGUGAAUUGCAAAUUCAGUGAAUCAUCGAGUCUUUGAACGCACAUUGCGCCCCCUGGUAUUCCGGGGGGCAUGCCUGUCCGAGCGUCAUUGCUGCCCUCAAGCACGGCUUGUGUGUUGGGCCCCGUCCUCCGAUCCCGGGGGACGGGCCCGAAAGGCAGCGGCGGCACCGCGUCCGGUCCUCGAGCGUAUGGGGCUUUGUCACCCGCUCUGUAGGCCCGGCCGGCGCUUGCCGAUCAACCCAAAUUUUUAUCCAGGUUGACCUCGGAUCAGGUAGGGAUACCCGUUGAACUUAAGCAUAUCAAUAAGCGGAGGA